UACGAAGGGGGCUAGCGUUGUUCGGAAUCACUGGGCGUAAAGCGCACGUAGGCGGACUUUCAAGUCAGGGGUGAAAUCCCGGGGCUCAACCUCGGAAUUGCCUUUGAUACUGUAGGUCUAGAGUCCGGAAGAGGUGGGUGGAAUUCCUAGUGUAGAGGUGAAAUUCGUAGAUAUUAGGAAGAACACCGGUGGCGAAGGCGGCCCACUGGUCCGGUACUGACGCUGAGGAGCGAAAGCGUGGGGAGCGAACAGG
rnacentral:rRNA from 1 species